rnacentral:misc_RNA from 1 species
UGCUGGGAGUGGGAAGGCGACCUCCAUCCUAUCCGGGGCGCUGUACAUCAUUGGCGCUGGGAGCAGCGACUUCAUACAAAACUACUAUGUCAAUCCAUACCUCAACAAGAUCUACAGCCCCGACGAGUACUCUUCCUUCCUUGUCAGCAUCUUCUCAAAUUUCGUCAAGGACCUAUACGGCCUUGGGGCUCGAAGGAUCGGAGUGACAUCACUGCCGCCAUUGGGGUGCCUCCCCUUAUCCAAAAA